rnacentral:rRNA from 1 species
GGGGGGCUAUACUGCCAGUUCGACAGGGGGCUACAUUUUCAGAAGUUUUCGGAUGGACGAAGAGAUAAGCUUAGUGGGCGGACGGGUGAGUAACACGUGAGCAACCCGCCUUUCAUAGGGGGAUAACAGUCGGAAACGACCGCUAAUACCGCAUAACGCUUGCGAUGGGGCAUCCCGAUGCAGCCAAAGGAGCAAUCCGCUGGAAGAUGGGCUCGCGGCCGAUUAGCUAGUUGGUGGGGCAACGGCCCACCAAGGCGACGAUCGGUAGCCGGACUGAGAGGUUGAUCGGCCACAUUGGGACUGAGACACGGCCCAGACUCCUACGGGAGGCAGCAGUGGGGGAUAUUGCACAAUGGAGGAAACUCUGAUGCAGCGACGCCGCGUGAGGGAAGACGGUCUUCGGAUUGUAAACCUCUGUCUUUGGGGAAGAAAAUGACGGUACCCAAAGAGGAAGCUCCGGCUAACUACGUGCCAGCAGCCGCGGUAAUACGUAGGGAGCGAGCGUUGUCCGGAAUUACUGGGUGUAAAGGGAGCGUAGGCGGGCGAGAAAGUUGAAUGUUAAAUCUACCGGCUUAACUGGUAGCUGCGUUCAAAACUUCUUGUCUUGAGUGAAGUAGAGGCAGGCGGAAUUCCUAGUGUAGCGGUGAAAUGCGUAGAUAUUANGAGGAACACCAGUGGCGAAGGCGGCCUGCUGGGCUUUAACUGACGCUGAGGCUCGAAAGCGUGGGGAGCAAACAGGAUUAGAUACCC